rnacentral:rRNA from 1 species
GAUGAACGCUGGCGGCGUGCCUAAUACAUGCAAGUCGAGCGAACAGACGAGGAGCUUGCUCCUCUGACGUUAGCGGCGGACGGGUGAGUAACACGUGGAUAACCUACCUAUAAGACUGGGAUAACUUCGGGAAACCGGAGCUAAUACUGGAUAAUAUAUUGAACCGCAUGGUUCAAUAGUGAAAGACGGUUUUGCUGUCACUUAUAGAUGGAUCCGCGCCGCAUUAGCUAGUUGGUAAGGUAACGGCUUACCAAGGCAACGAUGCGUAGCCGACCUGAGAGGGUGAUCGGCCACCCUGGAACUGAGACACGGUCCAGACUCCUACGGGAGGCAGCAGUAGGGAAUCUUCCGCAAUGGGCGAAAGCCUGACGGAGCAACGCCGCGUGAGUGAUGAAGGUCUUCGGAUCGUAAAACUCUGUUAUUAGGGAAGAACAAAUGUGUAAGUAACUAUGCACGUCUUGACGGUACCUAAUCAGAAAGCCACGGCUAACUACGUG